UAUGGAGCAAUAAGGGCUACGCGUAGCCCUGAUGAGAGUACCAUACGAAUAAGGACCGGCUAACUCCGCGCCAGCAGCCGCGGUAAUACGGAGGGUCCGAGCGUUAUCCGGAUUUAUUGGGUUUAAAGGGUGCGUAGGCGGUUUUAUAAGUCAGCGGUGAAAUUUUCCGGCUCAACCGGGAGACUGCCGUUGAUACUGUAAGGCUAGGAUAUGGUUGCUGUGGGUGGAAUGUGUGGUGUAGCGGUGAAAUGCUUAGAGAUCACACAGAAUAUCGAUUGCGAAGGCAGCUCACAAAGCCAUUAUUGACGCUGAGGCACGAAAGUGUGGGGAUCAAACAGGAUUAGAUACCCUGGUAGUCCACACUGUAAACGAUGAUAACUCGCUGUCGGCGAUAUAAAGUCGGUGGCCAAGCGAAAGCGAUAAGUUAUCCACCUGGGGAGUACGACCGCAAGGUUGAAACUCAAAGGAAUUGACGGGGGCCCGCACAAGCGGAGGAACAUGUGGUUUAAUUCGAUGAUACGCGAGGAACCUUACCCGGGCUCGAACGGUGCAGGAAUACUUCAGAGAUGGAGUAGCUAGCAAUAGUCUGUAUCGAGGUGCUGCAUGGUUGUCGUCAGCUCGUGCCGUGAGGUGUCGGCUUAAGUGCCAUAACGAGCGCAACCCUUGUCGUUAGUUGCCAUCAGGUAAAGCUGGGGACUCUAGCGAGACUGCCACCGUAAGGUGUGAGGAAGGGGGGGAUGACGUCAAAUCAGCACGGCCCUUACGUCCGGGGCGACACACGUGUUACAAUGGCAGGUACAGAGGGGAGCUACCCAGCGAUGGGGUGCGAAUCUCAAAAGCCUGUCUCAGUUCGGAUUGGAGUCUGCAACUCGACUCCAUGAAGUUGGAUUCGCUAGUAAUCGCGCAUCAGCCAUGGCGCGGUGAAUACGUUCCCGGGCCUUGUACACACCGCCCGUAAGGGCGAAUUC
rnacentral:rRNA from 1 species